UCUGGGCGCCGGAUCCGUCGGCGAGGAGACCAGGGUCACUGGAUCCGGCGGCCCCGGCAUCCUCACUGGGAAAUCCGGGGGCUCAU
rnacentral:pre_miRNA from 1 species